AGUCUUCCUCCCCGGAGCCGAGCCCCAACCAAGCGCGUCACCUCCUCGCCGCCAGUGCCCAGCCCAGCGCGCCGCCCCUGCGCGCUUCCGCCGGCAACCCCUCCCGCCCCCCUCAGCCCUGCUCCGCGCCUCCCCCGGGCCCGCAGCUCCUCCCACCGCAGCCCGCUGACACCGAAGCGCUCUCGACCCCUGACCUCUAACCUCCGCCCGGCUCUUCUUGCUUCGUCCCUCGCCCCCUCCCCGCCAAGCUGGUCGCACUGUUGCCGUUUCACUGCGGCUGACGGAAGGCCAAGGAAGAAAGAGGGUAGAGACGCUGUCGCGAGGAUCAGGCUGCCCUCUCCUUUCCCAGGGACCGUGUUGGGGCCUUCUGACCACCCCGCCCCGCAUCCUGCGCCUCGGAGGCCCAACGUAGCCCAAGACACCCAUGGUCUUGAUGCUCUCCGCCUCUGUCCCAGCCACCAAAGUCCCCGCGAUGGAAUGGAGGACGGGGUGGCCUUGGGCAGAGAAGCGCUUCUUGUGCCGGAUGGAAGGAAACCGUAGCUCUGGCUGUGUUCAUCGCGAAAUGUUUUAUGGAUGUGGAGUGGCUUCAGGCAGCCUCCAUGCCUGUCUGGAUGAUGUAAAGAGAUCUUGAGGCAGAAAUGAAAGAGUUUAGCUGUCUUUGAGUUUGCUGCAGUGAAAAGAAAUAUCCCAAGUGUGACUGGGAAGAGAAGACCCGGGACAGGCCAGAAACUGGAGUGAGGAAGAAAGAACCACAGAAUAUUAAUGUAAUGAAUAACUUUCAAGUCCUAUCUGGUCCGUGUCCUGGCAAAGUCCCUUGGGGUCUCUCCCCUGCUUUCCGUUCAUCAGGAUGACUGAGCUCAGUAAUUGUAACAAAGGGAGUGUAGUAGGCAAGGGGACAAAACCCAUAGUAUCCCACCCCUGAUUGACUUAUUAACUCAAUGAACACUUAUUGAAUACCUACGAUAUGCCAGAAGCAGUUCCGGGUACUGGAAAUACAUCAGUGAAUAAAACAGCCACUCAUCCUAGUAAAUCUGCCCAACUGGUGCUUCCACUCUGCGGUGCUUGUGGAUAGUGA
rnacentral:lncRNA from 1 species